CUAACAUCAAAUGACGGAUUCUUUGGCAAGACAGGCUUUUCAAGCAAUUACAUCGAAUCAGAAUCAAUAUGACUACAGCUGUUCUAAUCCUAGUCAUGCAAAUGAUUGUCCUGUUCUUCGAGCAAUCAACUAUGUAACCAUUACUUCUGUAAACAUUCUAUCAGCCUCGUGCUGUUAAUAAAUUUAGUUACUUGUAAAAAAAAUAGAGACAAAGGGCUUGACACGGAAACAAGUGUGUGUUUUCAACCAAAAAAACGAAAACAAGUGUGUAAAUCAGGCAAGGAGCAACCACGCCAUUGACUUCCAUUGAAGAAGAGAUCAGUCCACCGUUCGCUUGCUGAAUGCCUGGCAAAUUUAAGGACGAGAGCAGAGGUCAGUUUAUAGGAUAAGAAUUUUUGGACAAGAGUAGAGGUAGGCGAACCUCUUUUUUUGUCAUAUCAAUGAUUUCGUGCGAGCUCUUCAUUUGUUU
rnacentral:lncRNA from 1 species